rnacentral:rRNA from 1 species
AUUAGUUUUUUAAUUGAAGGCUAGAAUGAAUGGUCGGACAAGAAAUAAUCUGUCUUAGGUGAAUAUAUUGAAUUUAACUUUUGAGUGAAAAGGCUUAAAUGAUCUGAAGGGACGAUAAGACCCUAUAAAACUUUAUAUUUAUAAAUGGUAGUUAAUUUUGUUUUAAAAUGUUAUUAAAAAAUAUUUUGUUGGGGUGACAAGGAUAAAAUAGAAAAUAACUGUCCUUUUUUAUUACAGUAAUGUUUGGUUUAAUGAUCCUAAAAAGGAUUAUAAGAUUAAGUUACUUUAGGGAUAACAGCGUAAUUUUCUUUGAGAGUUCUUAUCGACGGGAAAGUUUGCGACCUCGAUGUUGAAUUAAAAAUUCUUUAUAGAGUAGAGACUAUAGAAGAAGGUCUGUUCGACCUUUAAAUUUUUACAUGAUUUGAGUUCAGACCGGUGUGAG